rnacentral:lncRNA from 1 species
UAGCUGGUGAAAAGAUCAUAUGGAUAUUUGCUCACAGUUCCUCCCCAGAGGCUCUUUGUUUGGACAGAAUGAGGAAUAAUAACAACAGGCAGAGCUACCACAAACUGGAUAGUUCUGUUGUAUGAUGGCAACCUAUUACUGGUCGAAGCAGUUAGCUUUGAUGCUGAAGAAAAUGAACUAUAAAUUAUGCUUCUGGCUGAUGGAGAUGGGCUCUGAGGCUCCAUGGAUGCAGACCUUCACGAGACAACUGUUCAGAAGACCUAAAAAUAAACACUCAAGUUCAAAUCCUGAAGUUCUUUGCUUUCUUCUUGCCUUGCUCAAAGAGAUCUCCAGGGCAUCUGUAGGUAAUAUGAAGGCAAGUGGGGGGGGGGGGGGGGGGCGUUCCUGGAUGGCUUGUUUUCCCCUUCACAACAAGAGCAACAUGACCACAAAAAUCCUGUUCUGCUUGCAUGCCUUCCCAGUGCCUUUUUGAACAUGUCAGUGGUUCUUAAUGAUCCUGGAUCUGCUUGUUUGAGAGUAUAGUAAUUGGGCUAUUCCUCUGAGAUGUUCAAGUACACAACAUUUGUGAACACUUGUCAAUUAACUUUUUCCUUUCAAGAACUAAUGACUCUAAAUAACACCUUGAGCACUGCACUGCAUCAUUUCCCUGCCAGAACAGGGGGCUUGCACUCAGCACAGCUCUAGAUCUGCAAAUAUACCUGCUAAGAUUAAGUUUGCAAUGCUAAGCUUUAAAACCAUCAAUAUUUAUACAGCAGGCAGAAUUCAUAUCAAACCUGUCAGGCAGAAUCUGUCACUGUGGUGUUUCUAAAAGGUUACCAGCCUCAAGGUGUCUGUUUUUCACUUAUAAACAGGUUCUAAGAUGAAUCGCUUUACAAUUUGAGCCUUAGUCUACGAGUAAACUGCCUGAUUCAUCAUUGAAUUAAUACCUUUGCUUGGUUCCAUCCACAGGUGCUGCUCCAGCAUACAUGAUGAACAAUCUGAAUGAUGAAGAAGAUAAGCAGGAAAUAUUUCCACAUCAGAGAAAAUGUCUGACUUGUUAGAUUGUCAUUUAAAGAAAUUUCCAUAUAGAAAACAAACUUUCACAGGGCAGAACUGCACUCAGCAAUGCAGUCUGUCUUCUGCAGAAUGUUCUCUUCACAUCAGCUACAGUGGGGAGCCUAGGGAAAAGCACUGGUUCCUCUUUUAAUAUACUGAAAAUAUUUCUUGAACGUUGCUUCAACCAUUAUUGAAACUGCAACUGUUUCUCCACCCCUUCCCUGCAUGUGCUCUCUUUCCCCAAAACUGGGCUGAGGAGUGGAGUUAUUAGAGCCUUUAGGAAAUAAAUAAAUAAAUAAAGCAAACCACCACCACCAAAAAAAAAAAAAAAAAAAAAAAAAAAAAAAAAAAAAGGCCAGAAAUGGGCCUUUACACUUGC